GAUGAACGCUGGCGGCGUGCCUAAUACAUGCAAGUCGAACGAACAGACGAGGAUCUUGCUGCGCUGUCGGUAUACGCGGACGGGUGAGUAACAAGUGAAUAACCUACCUAUAAGACUGGGAUAACGUCGGGAAACGGGAGCUAAUACCGGAUAAUAUAUUGAACCGCAUGGUGCAAUAGUGGAAGACGAAUUUGCUGUCACUUAUAGAUGGAUACGCGCCGCAUUAGCUGGUUGGUAAGGUAACGGUAUACCACGGCCACGAUGCGUAGCAGACCGGAGAGUGUGAUCGUCGACACUGACACUGAGACACAGUCCAGACCCCGACGGGAGGGAGCAGUAGGGAAGCGGCCGCUAUGGGCGAAAGCGUGACGGAGCAGCGGCGCGUGAGUGAUGGAGGUCUUCGGAUCGGAAAACUAUGUUACUAGGGAAGAACAAAUGUGUACGUAGCUAGGAACGUCGUGACGGUACCUAAAGAGAAAGCACCGGCUAACUACGUG
rnacentral:rRNA from 1 species